GAGAGAGAGAGAGACAGGUUGAGGUUUCCAGGAUCAGAGACGUCCCGUGUGAGAGAGAGAGAGACAGGUUGAGGUUUCCAGGGUCAGAGACGUCCCGUGUGAGAGAGAGAGAGAGAGACAGGUUUCCAGGAUCAGAGACGUCCCGUGUGAGAGAGAGAGAGAGAGAGAGAGAGAGACAGGUUGAGGUUUCCAGGAUCAGAGACGUCCCGUGAGAGAGAGAGAGAGAGAGAGAGAGAGACAGGUUGAGGUUUCCAGGAUCAGAGACGUCCCGUGUGAGAGAGAGACAGGUUGAGGUUUCCAGGGUCAGAGACGUCCCGUGUGAGAGAGAGAGACAGGUUGAGGUUUCCAGGAUCAGAGACGUCCCGUGUGAG
ensembl:lncRNA